rnacentral:rRNA from 1 species
GAUGAACGCUGGCGGCGCGCCUAAUACAUGCAAGUCGAGCGAAUGGAUUAAGAGCUUGCUCUUAUGAAGUUAGCGGCGGACGGGUGAGUAACACGUGGGUAACCUGCCCAUAAGACUGGGAUAACUCCGGGAAACCGGGGCUAAUACCGGAUAACAUUUUGAACCGCAUGGUUCGAAAUUGAAAGGCGGCUUCGGCUGUCACUUAUGGAUGGACCCGCGUCGCAUUAGCUAGUUGGUGAGGUAACGGCUCACCAAGGCAACGAUGCGUAGCCGGCCUGAGAGGGUGAUCUGCCACACUGGGACUGAGACACGGCCCAGACUCCUACGGGAGGCAGCAGUAGGGAAUCUUCCGCAAUGGACGAAAGUCUGACGGAGCAACGCCGCGUGAGUGAUGAAGGCUUUCGGGUCGUAAAACUCUGUUGUUAGGGAAGAACAAGUGCUAGUUGAAUAAGCUGGCACCUUGACGGUACCUAACCAGAAAGCCACGGCUAACUACGUGCCAGCAGCCGCGGUAA